ensembl:lncRNA
AUGCGCAGAGGUUGGUCAGAGAAAAACAACGGGGAGGGGCAGGUUCAGCCGGAGUCUGCAGGGGGCCGAGCGCCACGGCCUGAGGCACGGUUCUGUCAGGCCUCCCAGGCGUUCUCCAGCCUCUCCCGGGCCUUCUCCAGCCUCCCGGGUGUUCUCCAGGCCUCUCCCGGGCGUUCUCCAGGCCUCUCCGGCGUUCUACAGCCUCCCGGGUGUUCUUCAGCCUCCCGGGCGUUCUCCAGGCCUCUCCCCGGCGUUCUGCAGCCUUUCCCGGGCGUUCUCCAGGCCUCCAGGGCAUUCUCCAGCCUCUCGGGUGUUCACCAGGCCUCUCCCGGGCGUUCUCCAGGCCUCUCCGGCGUUCUACAGCCUCCCGGGUGUUCUUCAGCCUCCCGGGCGUUCUCCAGGCCUCUCCCCGGCGUUCUGCAGCCUUUCCCGGGCGUUCUCCAGGCCUCUCCCCGGCGUUCUGCAGCCUUUCCCGGGUGUUCUCCAGGCCUUUCCCGGGUGUUCUCCAGCCUCUCCUGCGUUCUCCCGUCCCAGGCAGCAGGGGAAACUCCAUUAUUAAUGAUUGGAGAUGUAUUUAAUUCAUCGGAACUUGAGAGAAUAGAAGACCAGCUGUCACUAUCAUUUUGGAAGAAAAGGAAGGAAGGAACAAUUGAUCCUAGGCAGCAGAGAGAAACAGCAGGCCAAGGUGUAACCACCCUGCAUGGAAGGCCUUCCACCACUUUGUGGGUGUGGCUGGAUCUUACAGAUGCUAAUCAAGAUCUAUAUUCUCCUUUUCCUUUGCACACAUGCGUGAGCACACACACAUGCACACACAAAUGCACAUUAAAAUAUCAGAUUUUUUUCCAUUAGAAAUGAUGAUGUGAAUAAUUUUUUUAUGUAACGGGAGGUGAAUAAAAAUGUUGUGCAACCUUUCAGCAACCCCAGCAAACAAUAGAAAAUAAACAAAAAGGAAACUUUUGUAUGCUGUUUACUAAACCGGCUGACAUGGAGACGAUGGCCAAGACAAUUUGGAAGCUGAAUGUUGAAGAUAAUACAAUUUUUAUGCUUGAAUAAGGUUGCCUCAUCAGUCUGUCCAGCUUCUCUCCAGCUAAAUGAACAGAAAAUAAUUUACUAUGUGUUGGAGCCAUUAUAUAUUUUUGGUCUCCUCAUAACAGCAAUUAGCCUACCCUAACUGAUAAAGUGCGUGAGUUUGUCUAAUCUAGGUUUUGAUAUUAGGAUGUGCAAAUGCCACUGAUUAUAAAAUAUUAUUUCAUACGACAGUAGUGUCUUACUAAAGGUAGAUUGAGGUUACAUAUUUGGAAUUUAUACCGAACCCUAUUUUUCUCUGGGUUUGGUACCUGAAUAGAGAAUGUAAGUGCUAUUUAUUAGACCCACUUCAAGAUCCCAACAGUGGCACGGUAUAUUAUUAGUUCUUGCUCAGUGGGGAAGUUGCCCUUAUCCCCCAGUUAUUCAAAUUACAGUCAUUAGUGUUCUUAAUAAUAAUGGUCUCACAUCCAUAUGACCUUUUACAAUUUUUCAGUUAUUUUAUACAUUACCAUGUGAUAGCAUUUACAAAGUUUAAAAAUAUUGGACACCUGCUAUGUAGAAACAUGAACUAGAUAGUUUAAAAGACUAAAUGUGCUAGAUAUUUACAGAAGAUACUAAAUUCUUGUUUUUAAUUAGACUUAUCUUACAUUUUUGUAAAAAUAGUAUUAAACUAAAG